rnacentral:snoRNA from 1 species
CCCCGUUCAGAGUCGCACCUGGAGAGUUUCCAGUACUCUACCAGUCUCGACUAUGGAAGGGAGAAUCAAGCAGAGGCCUAUCCAUUCCAUUCCUAGCUCGGGCAGUGCCUAGCGAGUGGAAGGCCAUCUGCUACAAGU